UCGCCCGCGGGUACCCCAGUGCCAACCCCGGGAGUCAGGCCCCUUUGGGCAGGGGCGCUGGGAGGCUCAGGAUGGCGGAUUUCGACGAAAUCUAUGAGGAAGGGGAGGACGAGGAGUGGGCCCUGGAGGAGCAGCUGCUCAAGUACUCGCGGGACCCGGUGGUCGUCCGCGGCUCCAGUCACGUCACCGUAUUUGGACUGAGCAACAAAUUUGAAUCAGAAUUCCCUUCUUCGUUAACUGUAAAAGUAGCUCCUGAAGAAUUUAAAGCCAGCAUCAACAGAGUUAACAGUUGUCUUAAGAAGAACCUUCCCGUUAAUGUACGUUGGCUACUUUGUGGCUGCCUUUGUUGCUGCUGCACGUUAGGUUGUAGUAUGUGGCCAGUUAUUUGCCUCAGUAAAAGGACACGAAGAUCGAUUGAGAAGUUAUUAGACCGGGAAAACAAUAGGUUAUACCACAAGCUGUGCCUGCAUUGGAGACUGAGCAAAAGGAAAUGUGAAAUGAAUAACAUGAUGGAAUAUGUUAUCCUCAUAGAAUUUUUACCAAAGACACCGAUUUUUCGACCAGAUUAGCAUUUACUUUAGAGACUUUCCAAGUAGGUUGUCUUUCCAGUGGUGCCUGGCUUGGUGCUCCCCUGGUGGUGACAUAACAUUGGUUCUACAGAA